GAAUAUUGGGCAAUGGGCGAAAGCCUGACCCAGCGACGCCGCGUGAGGGAAGAAGGUCUUCGGAUUGUAAACCUUUGUCAACAGGGACGAAACAAAUGAAGGUACCUGUGAAGGAAGCCACGGCUAACUACGUGCCAGCAGCCGCGGUAAUACGUAGGUGGCGAGCGUUAUCCGGAAUUACUGGGUGUAAAGGGUGAGUAGGCGGGGAAGCAAGUCAGAUGUGAAAUGCAAAGGCUUAACCGUUGAAUUGCAUUUGAAACUGUUUUUCUUGAGAGUCGGAGAGGUAAUCGGAAUUCCUAGUGUAGCGGUGAAAUGCGUAGAUAUUAGGAGGAACACCAGUGGCGAAGGCGGAUUACUGGACGACAACUGACGCUGGUUCACGAAAGCGUGGGGAGCAAACA
rnacentral:rRNA from 1 species